GCCACGAGUAAGAGGUACAGACCUGUAAUCCCAGCUCUUUGGAGGCUUAGGCUGGCACAUCUCUUGAGCUUGGAAGUUCUGAGUUGCAGUGGGCUGAGCUAAUUGGGAAUCCUUGCAAAGUUCAGCAUUCAUACAGUGAGCUUCCAGGAGCAGGAGACCAACCAGUUGCCUAAGGAAAGGCAAACUGGCUCAGAAAGAAAAACAAGCAGGUGAGAGCUUCCAGGCUGAUCAGAGUAGAAUCAUUCUGAGUAGUAGUACAUUUCCAGCCUGGGUGACAUAGGGAGACCCAGUGUUA
rnacentral:SRP_RNA from 1 species